rnacentral:rRNA from 1 species
UAGGGAAUCUUCCACAAUGGAUGCAAGUCUGAUGGAGCAACGCCGCGUGAGUGAAGAAGGUUUUCGGAUCGUAAAGCUCUGUUGUUGGUGAAGAAGGAUAGAGGUAGUAACUGGCCUUUAUUUGACGGUAAUCAACCAGAAAGUCACGGCUAACUACGUGCCAGCAGCCGCGGUAAUACGUAGGUGGCAAGCGUUGUCCGGAUUUAUUGGGCGUAAAGCGAGCGCAGGCGGAAGAAUAAGUCUGAUGUGAAAGCCCUCGGCUUAACCGAGGAACUGCAUCGGAAACUGUUUUUCUUGAGUGCAGAAGAGGAGAGUGGAAUUCCAUGUGUAGCUGUGGAAUGCGUAGAUAUAUGGAAGAACACCAGUGGCGAAGGCGACUCUCUGGUCUGCAACUGACGCUGAGGCUCGAAAGCAUGGGUAGCGAACAGG